rnacentral:rRNA from 1 species
AUUGAACGCUGGCGGCAGGCCUAACACAUGCAAGUCGAGCGGAUGAAGGGAGCUUGCUCCUGGAUUCAGCGGCGGACGGGUGAGUAAUGCCUAGGAAUCUGCCUGGUAGUGGGGGAUAACGUCCGGAAACGGGCGCUAAUACCGCAUACGUCCUGAGGGGGAAAGUGGGGGAUCUUCGGACCUCACGCUAUCAGAUGAGCCUAGGUCGGAUUAGCUAGUUGGUGGGGUAAAGGCCUACCAAGGCGACGAUCCGUAACUGGUCUGAGAGGAUGAUCAGUCACACUGGAACUGAGACACGGUCCAGACUCCUACGGGAGGCAGCAGUGGGGAAUAUUGGACAAUGGGCGAAAGCCUGAUCCAGCCGUGCCGCGUGUGUGAAGAAGGUCUUCGGAUUGUAAAGCACUUUAAGUUGGGAGGAAGGGCAGUAAGUUAAUACCUUGCUGUUUUGACGUUACCAACAGAAUAAGCACCGGCUAACUUCGUG